UCUAUCAAUGACAACCACCUAAAACGUAACCUAAACACGGAGACUAGGUACCUAAAACCACCUGGCGUCCUGACGUCACUACCUCCUCCACUUGGCGUUGCUCGAUGUUACCUCGGCGACGGGAUGGGUCGACACCGCUGUCCUCGGCUUCUCGACGGGGGUUACCGGUGUCCAUCGCAACUGCCCGUCCAAACACGCCGCCAACACCGUCGGCUAUCCGGUUUAACUAGGUUUUUGAGGACCGACCUGAGCGUCCAGUCGUCCGUCGUUUGUUGGUGUACCGUCGACAACUCUGUCUCUAUCAAUUCUACGAUGUGUUAAUAAUCUGACAAGUGAACUACUCACCACUAGUGUAUUUUUAUUUGAGCGUUACUACAAAUGCACGAUUUUUGGGUAUUGUCUACCGGAUUACGCGCGCUACUGUUCGUUAGAACCAUGAGUUGGUUAAAAGGACUUCAAGGUCUGACUUUAGUUACCAUGUCAACCACACCACAUACACUCGAGAUGGGGCCUCUUAGCAUGCUCUCCAGGUCGACAGAGAGGCCGUUCCGUCACCGUCUUCUCUGCACACGUGGCAGGUUUUAUUCUUCACAGUAUUGUCCAUAGCUUUAAGUGGAAGGUCCUGGUACAGGAGACGUAGCCUCUCGAGAAUGUCGCUACGUCAGCCAUCCUCGUCACUCGGUCACUAGUUGGACCUGGUCCGCGAGGUUCCACCCUCUCGACACGGAGGACCUCUGAGUCGGCCCUCUUGUCUUAAACGUCAACCCCGUUACGGCCACCGGUCUCACUUCGUAUACACAAGGGACCUUAUUAUUAAUCCCGACGUCCCCUCAGAAGUACACGUCGAUUAGCAGCUCCGCCAGGACGUCGUCCUCCGUGGGUCCGUGUGUACGAAGUCCACGUAGUCCACCGUUACCGUGACUUCUAAAACGUCAACCCCUCCCGUUGUUAGUCCCACGACUUGCGUUACAGUCUCCAAGUCCACGACUGAGCCCCGCCUACUACUCGUUGAAUUCCAAGGCGUCGUUUGCCUGUUCCAAGACGUCGUAUACAGCCGCCGUCCCCGUGUUCUCCUGAUGCACGGGCCUGUCCCCACUACGGGGUUUCGGACAAGCGUUCGGUCGCUCCACGUUUUUCACACCUUAGCUUCCCGUGUCCGCUUUGUUGACGGUGUUUCACCCACUAGACGCCUACUAACCCAACACUCGUUAACGUUAUUAAACAAACAAAUCUGAUGGACAUCUUGAAGUACACACGCAACCAUCAAGGUAGUGAUCUUGAAGAAAUAAAGGUACGAACGACCCACCUCUAUUAAUGUGGAUGUCAGGAAUAUGAGAGGCCGUACAUUGUACUACCAGGAGUUUGAGCACCUCACGAGGUAAUACCAGGAGUUUAUGUUCUUAUGCGAAGUUAUACCAGGACCGAUGUAGAGUACGAUGAGGGCCGUUAUGUCAUGUUUACACCCG
rnacentral:rRNA from 1 species